ACACGACUCUUCAUGCCACAGCGCAGCUCCCUACUCUCUGUGUUUCCUGGGAAUGCCUGCUUUUCUCCCUCGGGAAGAUCCACUCUGUGUUUUAGCAGCACCCCACGUCGAGUCCUCCCUCUCAAGGAAAACAUCGAAAGCCCUGAACGUCUAACCCGGACUAUGGGUAGCUUUUCCAACCCUGUGGCGUCUUACCUGCUUCUGUGAUCUGUCUCCGCCAACCUAGCGAAAAGCUGAUCUCCAGAAACCCAGACCAAGAGCUAAGCUUUGGUGAAGUCGGGAGUGGCACCUGUGUAGCUGUGUGGCACUGGGCAGCUCCUAUCUGGGGCCUUGGUUUCCUCUCUAUGGGUACCACCAUUCCUGCACGCGUUCUUCACAGGCUUACGUUUGCAGACGCCCAAAUUGGGGAGGUGACUACAUACAGCAAGCAAGUCGGUGACAGAGCUCAGUCUCAGAAUCCACUGUACUCUCUCAGUAGUACCUCACAUUCCCCAUCAACUUGUGUCCAGCCACUUCUUAACUGGUGUCAGUCCCAGAGCACUUGUUUUCUAGCCACUGGGUCUGCAUCCAAAUUGUUUCUGAUGAUAUUACGUAGAAGAGAAGCUGACAAGUGUCAUUUUCCUAUUGAUGACAGAAACAGAGACUAGCCUCUCAGGGACUCUGUAGCAACCACGUAUCCAAGCUCUCCUCACUAGCAGAGAUCACACAAUGAACACAUUCAGAUGAGCCCCCUCAUACCCUCGCAAAGAUCUACUGCAGUAUUUCCAAGACUAGAAUUAUUCCUUGGGCCUGCCUCUAUCUACAGUCAACCCUGUGUCUAUAGAGGACUGGCUCCUGGAACUCUGAAGACCAAAAACCAAGAAUUCUCAAGUCUUGUAUAUUAAAAUGGUGUAGCACUUGUAUAUAGUCUGUGCACAUCCUCCAACAUACUUUAAAUCAUCA